CCUAACACAUGCAAGUCGAACGGUAACAGGAAGCAGCUUCGCUGCUUCGCUGACGAGUGGCGGACGGGUGAGUAAUGUCUGGGAAGCUGCCUGAUGGAGGGGGAUAACUACUGGAAACGGUAGCUAAUACCGCAUAAUGUCGCAAGACCAAAGAGGGGGACCUUCGGGCCUCUUGCCAUCGGAUGUGCCCAGAUGGGAUUAGCUUGUUGGUGGGGUAACGGCUCACCUAGGCGACGAUCCCUAGCUGGUCUGAGAGGAUGACCAGCCACACUGGAACUGAGACACGGUCCAGACUCCUACGGGAGGCAGCAGUGGGG
rnacentral:rRNA from 1 species